UAAGUAGUGUAGCAAUACACUGCCUAGAGUGACGUACGGGUGCGUAACACGUAUGCAACCUACCCAAAACUGGAGUAUAGCUCGGGGAAACUCGAAUUAACCCUUCAUAGUAUCAUUGAAUGGCAUCAUUUGAUGAUUAAAACUCAGAUGGUUUUGGAUGGGCAUGCGUCUGAUUAGCUAGUUGGUAGUGUAAUGGACUACCAAGGCGAUGAUCAGUAGGGGAACUGAGAGGUUGAUCCCCCACACUGGCACUGAGAUACGGGCCAGACUCCUACGGGAGGCAGCAGUAGGGAAUAUUGGUCAAUGGAUGCAAGUCUGAACCAGCCAUGCCGCGUGCAGGAAGAAGGCCUUCUGGGUUGUAAACUGCUUUUGCCAGAGGAUAAAAUGGGCGUGCGCGCCUAAUUGAAGGUACCUGGUGAAUAAGCCACGGCUAACUACGUGCCAGCAGCCGCGGUAAUACGUAGGUGGCAAGCGUUGUCCGGAUUUAUUGGGUUUAAAGGGUGCGUAGGCGGUUGACUAAGUCAGUGGUGAAAUCCUAUAGCUCAACUAUAGAUGUGCCAUUGAUACUGAUUAACUUGAGUGAAGUCGAGGUAGGCGGAAUUGACGGUGUAGCGGUGAAAUGCUUAGAUAUCGUCAAGAACACCGAUAGUGAAGACAGCUUACUAGGCUUAUACUGACGCUGAGGCACGAAAGUGUGGGGGUCAAACAGGAUUAGAUACCCUGGUAGUCCACACUGUAAACGUUGAUUACUCGCUGUUGGCGAUACACAGCCNGCGGCCAAGCGCAAGCGAUAAGUAAUCCACCUGGGGAGUACGCCGGCAACGGU
rnacentral:rRNA from 1 species